GUUGUUGCUCUUCACACCCUUCACACAUUGUGUCAUAACUGAUAAGACUACAAGCUUUAGUCAUGAGUCAAAGCAAUGAUGACUGGGGGGAUAUGGUUCUCCCAGGUGUUUACAUGAUUCAGCGGUCUACAGGUUCCGGAAUGACAAGCGGGACGGUACCCCCAGAUAAAGCGGUGAAUUUGGAACUUAUUCACCUUGAAAUCGAAGAAACAGAAGAGUACAUUGAGCUACUUCAAAGGAGCAACAAUGAGAUUGCCGCCUACUUAAAAGAGCAGCGAGAGAGUCGUUUUGCAGAGGAGGAGGGUGGCGUUGGCACAUCGAUGAUCGAGCUCUCCGAUGGAGGUUUGGAGGAAGAGGACGAUGAUGCAGUUUUUCGUGAGGCAUUGGAGGAAAAUGCGUUGGUCAUUGCGAGAAAGAAGAAGGAACUGGAGCAGUUGCGUGCGCUCAUCAGCGAGCAGCGUUGCGGAUGCUCGUGCGCUCACACCCAGCACCACAACCCUCAGCCGAUUGCCGCUCCCAGAAAUGAAACAAGAAUCAUUCUGUGAUCACCGUGUACUUCAACCUCGAGCGCCUGCUACUAUUCUUGGUCAAAUCGCGGCUUGCUUCUCUGCCGCGUCUC
rnacentral:misc_RNA from 1 species